UACGGAGGGUGCGAGCGUUAUCCGGAAUUACUGGGCGUAAAGCGUGCGUAGACGGUUUCGUAAGUCGGGUGUGAAAUCCCCGGGCUCAACCUGGGAAUUGCAUUCGAAACUGCGAGGCUAGGGUACGGAAGAGGGAAGCGGAAUUUCUGGUGUAGCGGUGAAAUGCGUAGAUAUCAGAAGGAACAUCAGUGGCGAAAGCGGCUUCCUGGUCCAGUACCGACGUUCAGGCACGAAAGCGUGGGGAGCAAACAGG
rnacentral:rRNA from 1 species